rnacentral:lncRNA from 1 species
UCUGCUCCUUUAUAUGUUCAUGUUCUGUUGUUGCCUGUGCAUCUACUUUUAAUCCAAGCACAGUUUUUGAGAAUGAAACAUCACUCUCUGGUUUAUGUGGAAAUCAGGACUGUCCAGGUUAUGGUUGUCACCACUAAAUGGUUGGUUAGUAUUAGACGCUUUAAAUUUCCACAGAUUUACAAGCAGUCAAUGUCUUUCUUUUUAUUUCCAUGACAAGCCUAGAUAUAAUCAUGGUAUCGGCUGGACAAGCUUUUCCUUGAAGCUGCCAUGCCAUGAGUUGAACUGUUAGUUCAGGGCCCUAUUUAAACUAUGUUCCAGCAGUUUAUUACUGUUAAGCCUCACCAGCUCCCAUGAUCACACUACCCACUCUUAACACUAGAAAAACACUCACAGAUGGAGAGCACACACAUUAUGUCACGCUGCACACCAGCACCCACUUUUGCACUAUAUCACCACACUACAACACGAUGGUUACACAUAUUUUAACACCACAAACACGCACACGCUAAGCUGUGACUCAGCCGCACAACCCGGCUAAGAACACUCACACAGCUAGCUCACCAACACAGCCACACGUUGCAUGCACGGGCUCCACAUUGCAUACAGCCACACGCUGUAUACUAAUCAUGCUUCACUAUGCACGCACUCCGUGCUUCACCCACACAUUGAUCAACUUGCUUCACCCACAAACUGAUCAGCUUUACUCACCACCACUGUCCACUCACAACAUUAAUCCCACUCUCUCACUCACACACUAAACUGCUCCCCCUUCUCUCUUCUUUUCACUUGCUGCACCACCUCUCAUUUUAUAGAACAAGACAGCCCCAUGGCUUGCUAAUGAAGACUUAAGGCUUUUCCUAACAACGUAAGGCAAAGACUUGACUUGUUGAUUUGCACCUGAAGACAACUUGACUUGUACUCUAAGGCAAGACAUGACCCACACUAACAUGCAACAAGGAUUACACUAACAAUUAUAACUUGUGGUAGAGCUUUAAAUCAGAAAAUCAAUGUGGAGUGCAGCUGAUUAUGUAGUUGUGUACAGUUAGCAUCAUAUUGUACUCCCUCCGUUUCAUAAUAGUUGUCAUUCUAGUUUUGUCUUAAGUCAAGCUUUUCUAUUUUGAUUGUCAAUUUUUUAAAAAAGUGUACCGUUUAGCGUCAUAAGAUUUAUGUUUUUAGAUUCACCAUGAGAAAUCUAUUUCAUAAUAUAUAAUUCACAUAUUCUUAAACUAUACAAAUUUCUAGGAACUACUUGUCAAAGAUAGAAGUGUUUGACUUAGGACAAAGCUAGAAUGACAACAAUUUUGAAACGGAGGGAGUACAUAUGUUUAAUGCCUAGGCCGUAGGUAUCAUGUAGGGAUAGACGAUUAAGUAAUAUCCCUUUGUAGUGCAAAUCGUUGCAAACCUUACAUUCAAAUAUCUAGAACAAUGUUAUGUCUGAGAAAAUGAAAAUCAGUUUUCUGCAAAGAAGUCACUAUCUACAUGUACAUUCUACAGUAUGGCGGACAAGGAAAAUGCCAUUAGUAGCUUUCUAAUUUUAGCUAAAUUUUAUAGGAAAAUCUUUGUAGAUCGACUAUUUCUGGAUAACCAUUGUACUGGUUCUGUGUAGUCUACACCAUGCCAACUUUUUAAUGGGCACCUUUAGUGAUAGAGUGGGUUAUGAAGGUAGUACCACUAGAGGGGUUUGCAUUGAUUGUCAAUAUGCUUCCUUGGUCAAGGUAUGUUUAAGCUGUUGAAUGUAUGCAUUAGAUUGUUGUGGUCCUUUUUGCUUCUGUAAACGGUUAUUUGAUUGGUGAGCAGCCAAUCGUGAACCCAGUUCUAACUUCUAACUGCACAUAAACUAAUUGUAAUGGCUGUUCCUUUUUUUUCUUUUUGUGAAACGUAAUGGCUGCUCCUUGGUUUUGCUUUUUGCUGAAUGUGAAGGUUGAUUCUGUUUGCUGAAUAUGAAGGUUGAUUCUGAUUGCAGGAACUCGCUUAUUAGGGAGACUCUCAUCUCUCCAAGAGGGCCUAACAGGAAAAAACAGAUUUCAGCCUCCAAGUACUCUGAUUAACGCGCAAUCCUUUGCACCUUUAGUUACAAUUAACAAGGAUGCAUAGACACUCUGCAAAACCUUGGUACUGGCGACGAGAGCUGCUAUGUGUAAGAAGCCCCAUCUGUAUGUGUAAACAACAUAGAAGAAAUUGCUCUCAUGCAGCAUGAGUUACUAAUGGAGUAAUGGUUGACAGUGUAUGGAUGCGAGUUAUAUACUGAUACCUGGCAUCCGGGAGAAGCAACGAACUGAUGUGAAAUCUUGCUAUGCAUGUUUUGCUUUAAUUGAUUCUAGCAGGCUUUUUUGAAAUCUUGCUGUGCAGGAGUAAUAGAGAUGGGAACAAAGGAAAAGAUAAAACUUGUACCUCAAGUUAAAUCAUUUCUAGAAGUUAUGUGGAACAUGCUAUUCCAAUUCCUUAUAUUAGGAUUUUUUUAGUUCCAAACGAUUCAUGGGGAAUUUUACUAUAGGGUUCAAUUCAUUUGGAAUACCUGGCUCCAAUCUUCAACUACUUGAUUGAUGUUUUAAUUCUGUCAGAUGAUCAUGAUCUGGUCAACUUUGCUAGGUAUGUGCAGAUUUAGCACUUCAAUGCUUGUCCUUGUACAUCUCAGAAUUAGUCUUUUUUUCCUUUUAUCUGGAAACAGAAUUGUUGUGCCCUCUAUGCUCGGCAAACCGAAGCAAGAUGCACUCAUUUUUUGUACGCCUCUACUGGGCAUAGACGAACAGUUUGGAGCGUGUCACGUUCCCUUGGCUUCACGCUUGAGAGGCAAUCAAAUAAAAUUUAUUUGUGGGCAAGGCUGUGAAAUGCUCGAGACCAAUUUCGUAAGCACGAACCUUAUCCCUAGCCCUAAGUUAGCUCUUCGGUGUAGGAAGUAGCUUUUUAUUCCUCUACAUUUUUUUUCCUUUUGCGAAGAUCUCUUUGUAGUAUAUUUCCUUCAUUCUAAAUUUCUAUUUGACUUUUUUAGAUACAUAGCUUUUUGAUAUGUAUCUAGAUAUGCCAAAACAAAUAGUAAUUUUAGUUGGAGGCAGUAGUAUAUUAGAAGAAAUAUUUUCUAGGCGCAUUGUUCUGUACGCACUUGCGAAAUAACCUUCGAAUCACCUCAAAAAUCAUGAAAACCUUUCCUAGUGAUACAUAAAUGAAGAUGAAUCCAUUUUUCUUAAAACCACAUUUGAAUACUUGCAGUUUAAAAUUUUUAUGGUGCCAAAUUUUUUUCAUAAAACUAUGGAAAAUAACUAAUAUUCCUCACAUUGGAUGCAUUAAUUUAUUAAAUUAUUUCCUAACAUGAGUUAGGGUGUUUACAUCCGUGAACUAAAAAUUUCGGGUCACAUCGGAUAUUUGAAUACCAAUUAGAAAGACUAAAUGUGAACUAAUUAUAAAACUAAUGGCAUAAACGAGGGCUAAUUCGCGAGACGAAUCUAUUAAGCCUAAUUAAUUCAUAAUUAGCACAUGUUUACUGUAGCAUCACAUGGGCUAAUCAUGGACUAAUUAGGCUUAAUAAAUUCAUCUCGCGAAUUAGUCCUCAUUUAUAGUUCGGUCACAUCGGAUGUUUGAUUUCCUUGGGCACCCAAAUAGGUUGGUUCCACCCCUUGUCUUGCUUAUUGAUCAAGUGAGCCACCGCCUUGUCAUCUUUCUUCUUGAGGUUGGAGUUGACCUUCUUCUUUUGCUCCCCCUUCUUGUUCUUGCACUCAUAGGACUUGUGAUCUUCUUGUUGGCAUGAGUAACAAGUAAUGGUUGCACCCUUCUCAAGCUUCUUCACCAUCUUGGGACGGUUAACUUCAGAAGGUUGUUUCUUGCUCUCAUUAGCCUUCACCUUGCCCUUGAGCCUUCUCAAGUCCUUCAUGAGCCUUUCCACUUCUUGCUUGACCUCAUCAUUUUCUUGAGCAAUGAGAUCAUCACAUGUUUCUACAACAACAUUCUUGGCACAAGUCUCAUUGCAACGUGGUGAGCAAGAUUUAUCAAUUAAAUUAAUGCAUGAAGUAGAGGCAUCCUUUUUGGAUUUAUUUUGAAAGGAUGUGGAUGCCUUGUUAGAGGUAGUUUUACCUUGACCUCAAUUUUCUUAGUUAGCUCAUCAUUUUGGUCAAUGAUAUCAUCAAAUUUUCGGCCAAUUCUUUACAAUUGGAUGAUGAUCUAGCCAAUUUUUCUUUGAGUUCCUUAUUUUUAUUAAGGAGUUUUGUUAUUGCUACCUCUUGACUACAAACAAGAUCCUGUUUUACAAAUCUGACUUCACAUGAAAGAACAAAACAAUAAGCCCAAUGCUCAGAUAUUUUGGCCAAUAGUAGGGCCUUUUCUCAAAUAGGAAAGUAGAGGCUAAAAAACAUUGGUUUCUUGCAAGCUCAUGAAUGGAAGUGGAGGAGUCAUCAUCACUUACAUCGCUCUUAUUCAUACCUUUGGCAAUUAGGCAAAUGUGCGAUGAGCUUGAUGAUGAUAAGAAGGCACAUGGCUUGCGAUGGGUUUUUUUAUCACUUGAGCUUGUCAUAUCAAACCUACCUUUUGCAAUACUUGUGAAGGUCUUCUUAUUGCUUGCCUUCUUCUCCUUCUUCCUUUCGUUUCUUUCUUUCUUUCUUUGCUUGCAUCUCUUCUCCAUCAACGGACAAUACUCAAUGUAAUGUCCCUCCUCUCCAUAACCAAGAUAUUCUUUCUUCUUUUUUCUUAGGUUGCGGCGAACCAAUGGUUCCAUAGGGACACCCUUGGAGUUGAGCUUCUUGAGUAGCUUGUUCACUCCUUUUACAAGUUGCUUGAUUUCUUCAUCGUUGGAGGAGUUGCUACUACUUGCUUGAUCAUUCUCUUCAUCUUCCGCCUCAUCAUCACUUUCUUCUUCUUCUUCACUUGAACUUGAAGUUUCACUAAGCUUGAGCUUGAACUUGAUUCUUGUUCUUGAGAUUUCUUGCUUGAUGUGGAAGAUUCUUGCUUAUCUUCACUUUUCUCUUCCUUCUCCUUCUCCUUUUCUUCUUUGCUUGAUGUGCCCACAUCUUGACUUGAGGGAGAAGGGCUUUUGGUAAUCUUCAUGGAUAGCUCAUGGGCAAUGAUCUUGUUCAAGAGCUUUGUUGGCUUCAACUUGUUCAUGUCUUCGAAGCAAUGGAAAUAGGUGACGAUGGCGGUGUACUUAUCCUUGGGAAGAAUUUGGAUGGUCUUUCUUGAGAUGUCCGCGUUGGAUAGCUUGGUCAAACCUAUUGCAUUUAGCUUAUUGACAAUAACAUUUAAGCGUGAAUACAUGUCAUAGCUAAUUCAUUAGGCAACAUUUUGAAAUAAUCAAAAGUUAACAUCACUUGUGCCAUUAUGGAGCUUUACGAGCGUGGUCCAUAUUUCGUGUGCACUUCCAAGCUCAUAGACUAUUAAACACCUCAAUGCUAAGAGAUUCAAAAAUUGAAUUUCGAGCAAUAGCAUUGAGAUGCAACUCUUUUUCAUCGGCCUUAGUGGGUUUUUUCGGCCGAGCUAGGGGAUUCAUUCCAUGUUUCAUCACUCUCCAAACACCUAAGCCUUUUUCCUCUAGAAAACAUGACAUGCGAACAUGCCAAUAGGGGAAUUAGUGCCGUCAAAGUGUGGAGACCUACCGAGAUCACUCCUAACCUCUUCGUAUGUCAUUUUGCUCAAUGGCGGUGAAGCCAAGGGUUUUGGAUAUGAGCCACCAGCUCUGAUACCAAUUGAAGGGACCGUGACACCAUAAGAAGGGGGGUUGAAUUGGGUGUUCUAAAAACUAGGCUCCAAGAACAUAUGAAAACCUAUUUCAAUUUCUAUCUAGAUAUGCACUAGGUUUUUUUAUGUGUUGCUAUCUACCACAAAAGAGUUUUGCACCCUAAGUUCCAAUCUUAUAAACUACACAUAGCAAUUCUAAGAAAGGUAAACGUGGAAAUCUAAGUGCAAUAUGAAAUGUGGAAGUAAAUGAGGUAGAGAAGGCAAACUCCCAGUGUGAUGACACGACGAUUUUUAUCGAGGUAUCAGAAAGCAACGCUUUCCACUAGUCCUCGUUGUUGGAGCCCCUCUCAAAGGGAAUGCCUGCGCAAGGGUAUAAACUCCCCGAUCAACUCCGUAGGAUAGCCAACAGGCCUUCCCCACACGCAAGUGGGUCUCCGCCUAGCCUCUCCCGGAUGCUCCUUGCCGCUCUUCACUUGGUAGAGCUUCGGCAAAAUGCCUAGGGCCUCUCCUCCCUAUCACAAGCACCAGCGGUCAGUCCACAAACGCGGUAGGAGGGUCUCGCAAGACUUACAAGCCUCGAAUUUACAACUCUUGGUGCGUGCAAGCACUGAUACAAAGGAGGUGUGCAAACCUCACCUAACUCUAGGGUAAUCCCUAAAGCAAUGCACUAAUUAGCUUAAACUAGCACUAAUCAAGAUCUAAACCUUAGGCUAAUUGCCUUAAUCUUCUCUUUAGCACUUUGGUGGAUAGAGCACUUUUGUGAAUGUGGAAACCAAGCCUAUAGCUUCUCCAAGCUCUAACACUCUCCAUAUAGCCAGGCAAUGGGAUAUAUAGCCCCAACUCCAGGAACUAGCCGUUACAUAGCCGUUGUAACUUUAUGCGUAUCACCGACUCAUUCGCUGCUCUUGUCACUUUAGCCACCAUAUGAAUACGAAUCGGUGAGGCCUAAUUACACUCCAAAACUUCCAGAGCCAAUUUUGAUCCGAUCUGAGCCCAAGCCGACGAUCACCGACUGAUUCAAUGGUGGUUACUGUUACCAGAUUAUGAAUCGAUGGUAAUAGUGCAUGCGCCUACCUUGGCUCCGCCUGUGGUCACCGACUGAAUCGGUGAUGGUUACAGUAACCAGAGUAAGAAUCGGUGGUAACAAUGCACGUGCCUACCUUGGCCCUGCCUGUGGUCACUAACUGAAUCGGUGACGGUUACUGUUACUAGAGUAUGAAUUGGUGGUAAUAGUGCACGCGCCUAUCUUGGUCCUGCCUGUGGUCACCAACUGAAUCGGUGAUGGUUACUGUUACCAGAGUAUGAAUCGGUGGAAUAUGUCGAUGCAUAUUUCCAGCAGCAUUCGCUUCAAAUCUUCGUGUGUCUUUAUCCCAUCUUCAUUACCACAUUUGUAAGCCUUAGAAUAGGACUAUCUCUGGAUUUUUUUUUGCUAUCAUUUGGAUGCCAUAGAAUUCUUCUAAGUCUUUCUUUUUUAUCAUUUGAUGAUUUGGUAAUUCAUCCUUGGAACCUAUAAACACUUACAAAGGUUCAUCUUGCAAACACAUUAGUCCCAAUGACUAUGUUGUUAUUAAUCACCGAAAUCAUUAUGGCCUAGGGCCAUUUUCCUUACAUAAUCCAUUUAGGAGCAAGAUAUCCAAUAGUUCCUCGUAUUGUAGUCACAACAUGACUAGAAACUUAGCCAUACCGAAAUCUGCAAUUUUUGGAACAAAGCAAGUGUCGAGAAGUAUGUUUCAGGUUUGAUAUCACAGUGUAUUAUACAAUCUCGACAGCUAUGAUGUAAAUAUGCUAGCCCUCUAGCAACUCCAAGGGCUAUCUGGUAUCUAUUGUUCCAUUCCAAAACUGUACCAUGAUUCUGGAAUAGGUGGGCAUCGAGAGAAUGGUUUGGCAUAUAUUGGUACACAAGGAGCCUCCUAUCACCUUCACAGCAGAACCCAAUAAGUUUAACCAAAUUAAUGUGCUGGAUGAUUCCAAUCGAACUCACUUCAGCCCUGAAUUGCUUCUCUCCUUGGCGGACACCAUGCAACAUCUUCAUUGCUAUGGUUACCGAGUCACUUAGUACCCCUUGAAUACAUAACCAAAACUUCCGCUACCCAGCUUCUCGGAGAAAUUUUUUAUUGCAUGUUUCAAAUCAGUGUAUCUGAAUAUAGUGAUCCCAGUGCUGCCCAUAUCAUUGUCCACUGUGUGCCUACCCCACUUUCCUAAUCUCAUCCUCCAAAUCAAAAUUAGAAAGAUGAAACCCAAUGAUGCAAAGAUUGCACAAAUGGCAACAAUCGUGAUCAUUCCUCUUAUACUGCUUUUCCGAUUUUGCACUUCUUUUGCAGCAAGGUGAAUGUAAAGAAUUUCUCCAUUACCAUCAGCAGCUACAUUAACCAGUUCAUCAUGCCAGAUAGAGCACCCAUCUUUUCCGUAGGAAUAUGCAGUGCAAGAGCAAUUGUUCAAACAAACUCGUGCACAUACAGUCCAGCUUGAUGCAUUUGGAAUACGCUUAGAAUUAUAUGGCAACCUAAUGCUUGGUAUAGAGUAGAAUGUGUCUGUGGUACCUGUACUAUUUUUGUCACCGUGACUCCUGCAAUUCAAUGGAGUAUUUUUUGUACACCCACCUGUUCUAUCCUCAACCUUCCAAUCCUCAGGCGACCUUACAGAGAACCCCUUCAUGCAUUCACACAAUGUAUUUGCAUUGUUAGUGCAGAUUUUUUUUUGAGGAAACAGGAGGGGCAAGCCCCUACUGAAAUAUAUUAACAAAAGAAAGGUUUACAAGAAAUAAAACGAGGCGAGAAAAGACAAAAAGUGGGAGAGAGAUAAAUUACAAGGCAUUUAGCCACUCCUUCAUAGCUGGGACUAUGAGGGUUUAGCUCUAUGGAGACAAACAGUAAGCAAUUCAGAGAACAACUUUCGUCUUACUGCUUGCACGGAUGGAGGAAUAUUAUUGAAGGUCCAACCAUUUCUGACGGACCAGAUGCUCCAUGUCAUUAUGACAAUGACCUCUAUGAAGAAUGGGACAUUUAGCUUUAGUUUGAUAUGUUUGAGGAUAAGCAACGGUUUCCUGGUGGCCACAAAUGUAACUACAAUGGAGGACCAGCAAGCUCUAGCAAAGUUGCAUCUUAGGAAAAGAUGCGCCACUGUCUCCCUUAUUUGUAAAAUGCAAAGUUCACAGGUGUAGGAAUCAAGGAUCAUUGACUUCCUACCUAGAAUAUCCUUGGUGCUUAGUCUGUCUUUAAUUAGGAGCCAGAAAAAUACUUUGUGUUUCUUUUGACAUUUAGAUUUCCAUAACCAAUGGUAUAUUGGGUGAACACUUCUAUGUCCCGUCAGAGCUUUGUAGGUUCUUGCCACCGAGAAGAUGGGGCUGCCCCAGAUAUAAGUCCACUGAUCACCAUCCUGCUGGGUGUUGAUGUCUGUUAAUCUAUUCUAUAGGUCAAGAAGUUGGUGAUGAGCUUCCUCUGAGAGGAGUAAAUGGAAGAUGUGGGAUAGGGAUGGUCUGCUGAUUGCCUCUUUGUAUGUAAUCAUUUGUUUCCUUGCAAACAAGAAAAGUUGCGGGAAUUCCAGGGAUAGAACUUGUUCGUUCGAGGUGUCUAGCCAGAAUAAGACAGUGUCACCAUCCGAAACCCAUGCUGAUGCUAUUCCUUUAUAUUUGUCCAGAAGCUUAACAAUGUCUCUCCACCAAAAGGAACCUUUUUUCUGUUGUCCAGGUAGUUUCCCAUUAUGAUAAUAAUUGUCUCAGACUAGGUUUACCCAUGGGAUAUCAGUCUUAAAGAAGAAUUUAUGCACAAAUUUUAAUAGUAGUGCUUCAUUUUGGGUGUUAAGAUUGAUGACACCCAACCCUCCUUGUUGUUUGGGCAGGCAUACCAUUGGCCAGGCUGCUUUGGACAGUUUUCUGGAAGAAAGAUCAGAUCCUCACCAUAAACAAUGCUUCCUGUAUUUGUCAAGAUGGUCGAUCACUCCUUUGUGUUAUUUAAGGGUAGCCAUAUGGAACAUUGCAGUGGAUGAGAAUAUUGAGUUAACCAGUUUUAAUUUGCCCCCUUGACAUAGCAUGUUUGAAAUGCCCUCUAGCCUUCUUUUGACUUUCUUAAUCAGAGGGAAAAAUUCCUCAAUGUUUGGUUUUGUCAAUCCCAAAGCCAAGCUUAGAUAUGUGAAGGGUAGAGAGCUAGCCUGACAAUCAAAAGUUGAUGCCAGAUGUUGUAGUUUCUCUUGGGGGUAUUUAGUAGGACCAUGACAGUAGUUAACCUUGAGCCCUGUCGAAUCAGCAAAGAGAUUGAGCAGUUGCUUGAGAUGUAGUAGAUGGGCAGAGUUAGCUUCCAUAACCAGCAGGGUAUCAUCUGCGUACUGGAUCACUGGGAAGUCUUGACCAGCUCUUUGAGGAAUUGGUAGUCGGAUGUUUCCUUCAUCUUAAGCCCUGUUCAGGAUAGAUUGGAGUAGAUCUGCUGCUAGAAUAAAAAGAAGAGGGGACAGAGGGUCUCCUUGCCUAACACCUCGUCUGCAAUGGAAAACUUUUCAUGAAACCCCAUUGAGUAGGAUAGAGGAUGUUCCAGAGCUAAGGAUUGCCUGUGCAGAUUGGGAAAGGGCCACAGACAGCAUAUGAUAUUUUGGUUCGUAGCUAAACUUCACCCAAUCCUGCGAGUUCCAUAUGCGCGAUAUCCUUUGGCCAGAGACAUCUAGCAGAUCCUGCCAAUCAUAUUAAUUUAUUGUCCAACAAGGUCUACAUGUAGUAAACCUCUUGGUCGUUGUCGACAAAUGUAAAAUUACAGAUAGUAGGGCCUGAAAUCUCCGGUAUUGAGCUGAAGAAACUGAAUCUACUGUUCCACUCCUAACUAGACCAAUAUGAAGCUUGGUCAAUAGUAUUCUUCCUUGAAACAAGGAGGUGAUUCCGACCUGUGAUCUUGUUCCGGCCAAGCUUUGCACCGGAGAGAAGGGUGUCUGUCGGGUGGUCAAAGCUCUACCAAAAUAUGUCUGAAGAGUUAUAUGAGCUCCGAAGAACAAAAUUCCCAUUGUCCAAUAGUACAGCGAUGGUCUUGUUGGUUGUGAUGUUGCAUUGGGUAGACCAGAUAAUGUGGCUGUGAGUUUCCGUCUCCGGAGAUGACGAGCUUUGGCGACGUGGGUUCGGAGACCGGGUUAUCCCCAUUGGCACUCCACACUGGAGUCAGUUUGGGGACCUUGUUGAACCAUAUGCCCAGGUAAGAGUUGAGGUGUUAUUGGAGGACUUGCUGCCUGUCUGAAAGAAACCAAGUGCAAACUUGCCGUUGCCAGAGACAAGCAUCUUGUUGCUGGUGAGGGCAUGUCCGUGUGGAAGUGUGUAUGUGGCAGCCGAGCUCGAGGUAGUGUGCGUGGAGAAAUAAUGGAGUCCAAGAACAACAAGGAGGUGGAGGAAAUGCAUGUCGAGUGAAAUGCAAGAACGAAGAUGAGCAAGAGAAGUAUGCUACAAAAAUAAGAAUUGAUGCACGGGGGCGACGUUUCUCUUUUCAUGAAAACUGGAGGGAGGCCAGCACCCUCAUCAUGUCCCAUAGAUUUUUAUUUUUCCAAGAAAACGCAUGGUCAUCCAUCACUGCCAUUAUUGGGGUAGUGACCGCGAUCCUUUCCUGGAGUUAUGUUUUUGACGUGACACACCGGUGGGAGUCACACGCCAUCCAUGAUCCAUGUGCAUUAAAAGACUGCUGACACCUCACGUGAACAGCAGGGCAUCAGGCCAGACUCCAGAACAGUACGAGUGCGACACUUAAGAGUGGUGAUAUGAACAAGGUUAGAGCAGCCGCACGUAUAACCGUGAGAGUGGUGAUACGAAUGUGACAAUUGAUAUAGUUACUAAACUUCAGUAUAUAGCCACACAAUAUUAUUUAAAAAGUAGAUUCCAUGUUGAAUAAAAAAUUCAUCAAAUAACUUCUAUCUCUCCCCAUUCACUCACUGAAAUUCAUACCCUACCACCUACUAAUUUGUAGCACCUGAUGCUUUAGAACACCCUCCUCUCCAGCGUGUAGCACCCUAGGAAUCUUUUUCUCUCUUCUCAGAGCACCCUCAAAAUCUCAACACUGAAGCUACUCCUAGGGCAACUCCAAAUGGAGACUCUUGGACCCCUGCCUCAUCUAUGAGGGUAAAACGCAAAAAAAAAAACUCUUCAACUGGUCUCUCAUCUGCCC